UACGGAGGGUGCAAGCGUUAAUCGGAAUUACUGGGCGUAAAGCGCGCGUAGGCGGCUGCUUAAGCUAGAUGUGAAAGCCCUGGGCUUAACCUGGGAACUGCAUUUAGAACUGGGCGGCUAGAGUACAGCAGAGGAUAGUGGAAUUUCCGGUGUAGCGGUGAAAUGCGUAGAGAUCGGAAGGAACAUCAGUGGCGAAGGCGACUGUCUGGGCUGAUACUGACGCUGAGGUGCGAAAGCGUGGGGAGCAAACAGG
rnacentral:rRNA from 1 species